AUCAAAAGAGGCAAAAAGACCUGCAUGAAUUUUAUCCUAUCCACCAACUUCUUCCCUAUUGAUCUCCCUCUGGCCUUACCAAAUCUGCAAACUCCACAAUCUGUAGAGUUUGUUAUGUUAUACUCUCAGCCAAAUCCAAAGACCACCAGCAGCUUCAAGAUGUUAAUGCCAAAAAGAGACCCGACUCUGAAGGUGGAGGACACAAACCAGUUUGGGU